rnacentral:lncRNA from 1 species
CAACUUUGUUGGAGAGAAAUGAAUCAACUCUGCUAGGGGAAAGCAAAGGGAAACCUGUCGGGGAUAGCCCAAUUAAUCCAUGAAAAAUUCCGCUUGGGGAAAUAAAAAAUCCGCUGGGGAAGCUAAACCAGGCGACUCUUUGGGGAUGAGGCUUCAUGCAAACCUCAAAUAAAACAGACUGCUUUGGGGAAUAACUGCUACUCCGCCGGGGACGAC